rnacentral:rRNA from 1 species
UCGGGAAUUUUGGGCAAUGGGCGAAAGCCUGACCCAGCAACGCCGCGUGAAGGAUGAAGUCUCUCGGGAUGUAAACUUCGUAAGAAUAGGAAGAAUAAAUGACGGUACUAUUUGUAAGGUCCGGCUAACUACGUGCCAGCAGCCGCGGUAAUACGUAGGGACCAAGCGUUGUUCGGAUUUACUGGGCGUAAAGGGCGCGUAGGCGGCGUGGUAAGUCACUUGUGAAAUCUCCGAGCUUAACUCGGAACGGUCAAGUGAUACUGCUGUGCUAGAGUACAGAAGGGGCAAUCGGAAUUCUUGGUGUAGCGGUGAAAUGCGUAGAUAUCAAGAGGAACACCUGAGGUGAAGACGGGUUGCUGGGCUGAUACUGACGCUGAGGCGCGAAAGCUAGGGUAGCAAACGGGGAUUAGAUACCCUUGUAGUCCCUGAGCGGGCUGGCAAGGCGCAU